GACGAACGCUGGCGGCGUGCUUAACACAUGCAAGUCGAACGGAAAGGCCCUGCUUUUGUGGGGUGCUCGAGUGGCGAACGGGUGAGUAACACGUGAGUAACCUGCCCUUGACUUUGGGAUAACUUCAGGAAACUGGGGCUAAUACCGGAUAGGAGCUCCUGCUGCAUGGUGGGGGUUGGAAAGUUUCGGCGGUUGGGGAUGGACUCGCGGCUUAUCAGCUUGUUGGUGGGGUAGUGGCUUACCAAGGUUUUGACGGGUAGCCGGCCUGAGAGGGUGACCGGCCACAUUGGGACUGAGAUACGGCCCAGACGCCUACGGGAGGCAGCAGUGGGGAAUAUUGCACAAUGGGCGGAAGCCUGAUGCAGCAACGCCGCGUGCGGGAUGACGGCCUUCGGGUUGUAAACCGCUUUCGCCUGUGACGAAGCGUGAGUGACGGUAAUGGGUAAAGAAGCACCGGCUAACUACGUG
rnacentral:rRNA from 1 species